rnacentral:rRNA from 1 species
ACACGACUACAUUAGAUACCCGGGUAGUCCUAGGCGUAAAUGAUGCGAGUUAAGUNUGGGGGCAUCUACGAGAUGGCCCUGUGCUGUAGGGUAGCCGUUAAACUCGCUGCCUGGGGAGUACGGUCGCAAGGCUGAAACUUAAAGGAAUUGGCGGGGAGCACCACAAGAGGUGGAGGCUGCGGUUCAAUUGGACUCAACGCCGGAAAACUCAUCGGGAGCGACAGCAGUAUGAUUGCCAGGUUGAUGACCUUGCUUGACAAGCUG